rnacentral:rRNA from 1 species
CACGUAGUUAGCCGGAGCUUCUUCUGCAGGUACCGUCUAUGUCUUCCCUGCUGAAAGCGGUUUACAACCCGAAGGCCUUCGUCCCGCACGCGGCGUUGCUGCGUCAGGGUUUCCCCCAUUGCGCAAAAUUCCCCACUGCUGCCUCCCGUAGGAGUCUGGGCCGUAUCUCAGUCCCAAUGUGGCCGGUCGACCUCUCAGUCCGGCUACCCAUCGCGGGCACGGUGGGCCGUUACCCCGCCGUCUACCUAAUGGGCCGCGACCCCAUCCCGCGCCGUUAAGGCUUUCCCGGGGAGGCCAUGGGGCCUCCCCGGAGCAUCCGGUAUUAGCCGCCGUUUCCAGCGGUUGUCCCGGAGCGCGGGGCAGGUUGGUCACGUGUUACUCACCCGUUCGCCACUCUAUAUCUGGCCGAAGCCAGUUUAAUCGUUCGACUUGCAUGUGUUAAGCACGCCGCCAGCGUUCAUCCUGAGCCAGGAUCAAACUCU